GAUGAACGCUGGCGGCGUGCCUAAUACAUGCAAGUCGAGCGAACGGACGAGAAGCUUGCUUCUCUGAUGUUAGCGGCGGACAGGUGAGUAACACGUGGAUAACCUACCUAUAAGACUGGGAUAACUUCGGGAAACCGGAGCUAAUACCGGAUAAUAUUUUGAACCGCAUGGUUCAAAAGUGAAAGACGGUCUUGCUGUCACUUAUAGAUGGAUCCGCGCUGCAUUAGCUAGUUGGUAAGGUAACGGCUUACCAAGGCAACGAUGCAUAGCCGACCUGAGAGGGUGAUCGGCCACACUGGAACUGAGACACGGUCCAGACUCCUACGGGAGGCAGCAGUAGGGAAUCUUCCGCAAUGGGCGAAAGCCUGACGGAGCAACGCCGCGUGAGUGAUGAAGGUCUUCGGAUCGUAAAACUCUGUUAUUAGGGAAGAACAUAUGUGUAAGUAACUGUGCACAUCUUGACGGUACCUAAUCAGAAAGCCACGGCUAACUACGUGCCAGCAGCCGCGGUAAUACGUAGGUGGCAAGCGUUAUCCGGAAUUAUUGGGCGUAAAGCGCGCGUAGGCGGUUUUUUAAGUCUGAUGUGAAAGCCCACGGCUCAACCGUGGAGGGUCAUUGGAAACUGGAAAACUUGAGUGCAGAAGAGGAAAGUGGAAUUCCAUGUGUAGCGGUGAAAUGCGCAGAGAUAUGGAGGAACACCAGUGGCGAAGGCGACUUUCUGGUCUGUAACUGACGCUGAUGUGCGAAAGCGUGGGGAUCAAACAGGAUUAGAUACCCUGGUAGUCCACGCCGUAAACGAUGAGUGCUAAGUGUUAGGGGGUUUCCGCCCCUUAGUGCUGCAGCUAACGCAUUAAGCACUCCGCCUGGGGAGUACGACCGCAAGGUUGAAACUCAAAGGAAUUGACGGGGACCCGCACAAGCGGUGGAGCAUGUGGUUUAAUUCGAAGCAACGCGAAGAACCUUACCAAAUCUUGACAUCCUUUGACAACUCUAGAGAUAGAGCCUUCCCCUUCGGGGGACAAAGUGACAGGUGGUGCAUGGUUGUCGUCAGCUCGUGUCGUGAGAUGUUGGGUUAAGUCCCGCAACGAGCGCAACCCUUAAGCUUAGUUGCCAUCAUUAAGUUGGGCACUCUAAGUUGACUGCCGGUGACAAACCGGAGGAAGGUGGGGAUGACGUCAAAUCAUCAUGCUCCUUAUGAUUUGGGCUACACACGUGCUACAAUGGACAAUACAAAGGGCAGCGAAACCGCGAGGUCAAGCAAAUCCCAUAAAGUUGUUCUCAGUUCGGAUUGUAGUCUGCAACUCGACUACAUGAAGCUGGAAUCGCUAGUAAUCGUAGAUCAGCAUGCUACGGUGAAUACGUUCCCGGGUCU
rnacentral:rRNA from 1 species